GGGGCCAUAGCUCAGUGGCAUAGCAUCUACCUUCCAUGCAGAACGUCCUGGGUUCAAUCCCUGGCACCUCCA